GGCAUAGAGUCUUCAUCUCAUAGGACUCUAUCCUUAUCCACUUGGGGUGCAUGCCAUAUCUGAUUAUGGCACCUACUUUGAGGGUAAAAUUAGCAGAUGGACACUCCACUAAAACUCUCCAAUGAUCUUUUGCCAAGUGGCCUUCAGUCCAAGGUCUAUGGGUCAACGUUUGACCAAUGUCCUAAAACGAAAAUGGCNNNN
rnacentral:lncRNA from 1 species